CUUCCUUUGUGUGCUCGGUAAGCCCGGUGCCUGUGCCUUGUAGCUGCAUGGAUGUGGUCUAAGUGGGUGGAGUCUAGGUGGGUGGAGUGGGGCAGGGAGCUGAAUGGGCGGCCUCUACCAGAUGCUAAGAGUGCUUCAGUCUCAGCUCUGAGUGGGGCUUGGUAUGUCAGCUCAUUUCCCGCCUUGUCAUAGAAAAUUGGAGUCUGCCCUUCUGCCUAUAAGCUGCUGCUGGGAACCGAGAAGUGUGUCUGGGGCCCAGGCUACUGGUGUCAGAACAUGGAGACUGCUGCCCGAUGCAAUGCUGUCGAUCAUUGCAAACGCCAUGUGUGGAACUAGCUUUCCAGCUUGCAGAAGUCGCCUACUUGUGGGUCUAGGGUAAUGAACACAUAGAUCUAUUUGACUUAAUAAGUAGGAGCCCCCUUUUGUCUUCCCCCAUCUCCUGUCCCUUACUAUAGCAUUUCUGUCACGUAAGAGGCGCUGACAGCCACUUCCGUGUCCCAUUUCUGCUCCAAGGAUGAGGACACUUGGGCUUCAGCUCCCCGGCUGCCCUUUUCACCCACCUGCUGGAGGGGGGUGGUGAGCCAGAGGGCAGGAGCAUGUGCUGAGCCCUCUCGGUGUGUAGGGAUCAUGGCCAUCUCCUAGCGUGAGGGAACUGCGCAACUUCCUGUGCUACCAAGGAGUUUAAUUUGGAUGCUUAGAAGCACAGAGUGAUCAGGCCUUUAGAGUGUGGGAUGGCCA
rnacentral:lncRNA from 1 species